rnacentral:rRNA from 1 species
UACGGGGGGGGCAAGCGUUGUUCGGAAUUACUGGGCGUAAAGGGCUCGUAGGCGGCCAACUAAGUCAGACGUGAAAUCCCUCGGCUUAACCGGGGAACUGCGUCUGAUACUGGAUGGCUUGAGGUUGGGAGAGGGAUGCGGAAUUCCAGGUGUAGCGGUGAAAUGCGUAGAUAUCUGGAGGAACACCGGUGGCGAAGGCGGGUCUCUGGGCCGAUACUGACGCUGAGGAGCGAAAGCAUGGGUAGCGAACAGG